CCUACGGGAGGCAGCAGUGGGGAAUAUUGGGCAAUGGGCGCGAGCCUGACCCAGCCACGCCGCGUGAAGGAAGAAGGCUUUCGGGUUGUAAACUUCUUUUGUCAGGGAAGAGUAGAAGACGGUACCUGACGAAUAAGCCACGGCUAACUACGUAGCAGCAGCCGCGGUAAUACGUAGGUGGCAAGCGUUGUCCGGCUUUACUGUGUGUAAAGGGCGUGUAGCCGGGUUGACAAGUCAGAUGUGAAAUCCUGCGGCUGAACCGCAGAACUGCAUUUGAAACUGUUGAUCUUGAGUACUGGAGAGGCAGACGGAAUUCCUAGUGUAGCGGUGAAAUGCGUAGAUAUUAGGAGGAACACCAGUGGCGAAGGCGGUCUGCUGGACAGCAACUGACGGUGAGGCGCGAAAGCGUGGGGAGCAAACAGGAUUAGAUACCCUUGUAGUC
rnacentral:rRNA from 1 species